rnacentral:tRNA from 1 species
GCCUGGUUGGCUCAGUCAGUAGAGCAUGUGACUCUUGAUCUCUGGGUUGUGAGUUUGAGCCCCACAUUGGGCA